rnacentral:tRNA from 1 species
AAGGAUUUAAGUUAAAUAUAAACUCUUAGCCUUCAAAGUUGAAUAUGGAUUAAAUCUAAGCCUUA